rnacentral:rRNA from 1 species
GUAAAGGGCUCGUAGGCGGUUCGUCGCGUCCGGUGUGAAAGUCCAUCGCCUAACGGUGGAUCUGCGCCGGGUACGGGCGGGCUGGAGUGCGGUAGGGGAGACUGGAAUUCCCGGUGUAACGGUGGAAUGUGUAGAUAUCGGGAAGAACACCAAUGGCGAAGGCAGGUCUCUGGGCCGUCACUGACGCUGAGGAGCGAAAGCGUGGGGAGCGAACAGGAUUAGAUACCCUGGUAGUCCACGCCGUAAACGGUGGAUGCUGGAUGUGGGGCCCUUUCCACGGGUCCCGUGUCGGAGCCAACGCGUUAAGCAUCCCGCCUGGGGAGUACGGCCGCAAGGCUAAAACUCAAAGAAAUUGACGGGGGCCCGCACAAGCGGCGGAGCAUGCGGAUUAAUUCGAUGCAACGCGAAGAACCUUACCUGGGCUUGACAUGUGCCGGAUCGCCGUGGAGACACGGUUUCCCUUCGGGGCCGGUUCACAGGUGGUGCAUGGUCGUCGUCAGCUCGUGUCGUGAGAUGUUGGGUUAAGUCCCGCAACGAGCGCAACCCUCGCCGCAUGUUGCCAGCGGGUGAUGCCGGGAACUCAUGUGGGACCGCCGGGGUCAACUCGGAGGAAGGUGGGGAUGACGUCAGAUCAUCAUGCCCCUUACGUCCAGGGCUUCACGCAUGCUACAAUGGCCGGUACAACGCGGUGCGACACGGUGACGUGGGGCGGAUCGCUGAAAACCGGUCUCAGUUCGGAUCGCAGUCUGCAACUCGACUGCGUGAAGGCGGAGUCGCUAGUAAUCGCGGAUCAGCAACGCCGCGGUGAAUGCGUUCCCGGGCCUUGUACACACCGCCCGUCAAGUCAUGAAAGUGGGUAGCACCCGAAGCCGGUGGCCCGACCCUUGUGGGGGGAGCCGUCUAAGGUGAGACUCGUGAUUGGGACUAAGUCGUAAC